rnacentral:rRNA from 1 species
GGGUGCGAUCAUACCAGUGUUAAUGCACCGAAUACCAUCAGAACUCUAUAGUUAAGUGCACUUGGGAUAGAAUAGUUCUGGGAUGGGUGACCUCCCGGGAAUUCCUAGUGUUGCACCCU